UAGCAUUACUAGUAUUAAAGGCACUGCCUGCCCAGUGACAUUAGUUAAACGGCCGCGGUAUCCUGACCGUGCAAAGGUAGCAUAAUCAUUUGUUCCUUAAUUAGGGACUUGUAUGAAUGGCCCCACGAGGGUUUGACUGUCUCUUACUUUUGAUCAGUGAAAUUGACCUUCCCGUGAAGAGGCGGGAAUACAAAAAUAAGACGAGAAGACCCUAUGGAGCUUAAAUUAAUAUGUUCAACAAAAUUUAAAUUUAACCCAACAGGAACAAUAAUAUUUUAACUGAACAAUAAAUUUUGGUUGGGGUGACCUCGGAGCACAACAAAACCUCCGAGCAACUAAAUCAAGACUUACCAGUCAAGAUUAUACAAUUUAUUGAUCCAAUCAUAUUGAUCAACGAAACAAGUUACCCUAGGGAUAACAGCGCAAUCCUAUUUGAGAGUUCAUAUCGACAAUAGGGUUUACGACCUCGAUGUUGGAUCAGGACACCCAAAUGGUGCAGCAGCUAUU
rnacentral:rRNA from 1 species